GAAUUUUGGACAAUGGGGGAAACCCAGAUCCAGCCAUCCCGCGUGUAUGAUGAAGGCCUUCGGGUUGAACAGUACUUUUGGCAGAGAAGAAAAGGUAUCCCCUAAUACGGGAUACUGCUGACGGUAUCUGCAGAAUAAGCACCGGCUAACUACGUGCCAGCACCCGCGGUAAUACGUAGGGUGCAAGCGUUAAUCGGAAUUACUGGGCGUAAAGCGUGCGCAGGCGGUUCGGAAAGAAGGAUGUGAAAUCCCAGGGCUCAACCUUGGAACUGCAUACUUAACUACCGAACUAGAGUAUGUCAGAGGGGGGUAGAAUUCCGCGUGUAGCAGUGAAAUGCGUAGAUAUGCGGAGGAAUACCGAUGGCGAAGGCAGCCCCCUGGGAUAAUACUGACGUUCAUGCACGAAAGCGUGGGUAGCAAACAGG
rnacentral:rRNA from 1 species